rnacentral:rRNA from 1 species
CAGCACCUCAAGUGGUCAGGAUGAUUAUUGGGCCUAAAGCAUCCGUAGCCGGCGCUGUAAGUUUUCGGUUAAAUCUGUACGCUCAACGUACAGGCUGCCGGGAAUACUGCAGCGCUAGGGAGUGGGAGAGGUAGACGGUACUCGGUAGGAAGGGGUAAAAUCCUUUGAUCUAUUGAUGACCACCUGUGGCGAAGGCGGUCUACCAGAACACGUCCGACGGUGAGGGAUGAAAGCCAGGGGAGCAAACCGGAUUAGAGACCCGAGUAGUCC